CAACUGGGUGGAGGCAUUCUCCUGUCAUCAUCACUGGUAUCGACUGCUUCUAUCAUCAUAGGAUUUCCCACUACGCUUUACCACUGGGGAAGGAAUAGAUCCAAAGCAAAGAAAGAAAAGAAAUUGCAAGAGUUGGAAGGCGCAGCAGUCCAGCUUCAGUCUCCAUUGAGAUCAAACCUAAAGGAAUGGACCCAUCUCUAUUCAAAAUGAAUUUCCUUUAUACAAAAAACACAAAGGAAACUGAAGCUACAUUUCUAAAUACUGAAAAGCAAAGCAUAAAAGGUGACUUUUCCCUUAAAGUGUUCUAUGUCAACGUCAUUUAGUGCUUUGGCAAAUCCCAGGAUAUUCUAGGAUGAGUAGUUUAGGGUAGCAAGCCAUGCACAUACCUUUUCAUUAGCCCUUUAUUUUCACAUAGAGGCCUGCAGAAAUUCCAGUCCUGUGAACCCUCACAGGGGGAUGGAGGAAACAGAAAAGAUCUUGUUAAAACUGGCCUUCUCCAAAGACUGUUUUAUUUCUUUUCUUCUUCUUUUUUUUAAGUACUCUAAGAAAAAGGGAAACCAGGUUUAGCUGAAUAUGUCCUUGCCAGGCCAACUUCCAGUAUUUUCCUGUGUUUGGCAAGGGAGUCAGUCAGUUGUGAUGUUGCUUCCUA